rnacentral:rRNA from 1 species
AGUGAACGCUGGCGGCGUGCCUAAUACAUGCAAGUCGAACGGAGUGGCGCACGGGUGAGUAAUAUAUAGCUAAUCUGCCCCUUGCUGGCGGUCAAAAGUUAGAAAUUACUGCUAAUACUCCAUAGCAAGGGAUGAGACUUUAACGGAUUAGCUAGUCGGUGGGGUAACGGCCUACCGAGGCGAUGACGCGUAACUGGUCUGAGAGGAUGAGCAGUCACAUGGGAACUGAGACACGGUCCAAACUCCUACGGGAGUGAGCAGUAGGGAAUAUUGCGCAAUGGGGGAAACCCUGACGCGGCAACGCCGCGUGGAGGAUGACACUUUUCGGAGCGUAAACUCCUUUUGUUAGGGAAGCGGUACCUAACGAAUAAGCACCGGCUAACUCCGUGCCAGCAGCCGCGGUAAUUC